rnacentral:rRNA from 1 species
GGGCCCGCACAAGCGGUGGAGCAUGUGGUUUAAUUCGAUGAUACGCGAGGAACCUUACCAGGGCUUAAAUGUAACGGGACAGAUCUAGAGAUAGAUCCUUCUUCGGACUCAUUACAAGGUGCUGCAUGGUUGUCGUCAGCUCGUGCCGUGAGGUGUCAGGUUAAGUCCUAUAACGAGCGCAACCCCCCAUCGUUAGUUGCCAGCGAGUAAUGUCGGGGACUCUAAGGAAACUGCCCGCGCAAGCGUGGAGAAGGUGGGAUGACGUCAAAUCAUCACGGCCCUUACGUCCAGGGCCACACACGUGCUACAAUGGUAGGGACAGAGGGCAGCCACCUGGUGACAGGAGCGAAUCCUAAACCCUAUCUCAG